UACGGGGGGGGGCAAGCGUUGUUCGGAAUUACUGGGCGUAAAGGGCUCGUAGGCGGCCAACUAAGUCGGAUGUGAAAUCCCCAGGCUUAACCUGGGAACUGCAUCCGAUACUGGAUGGCUUGAAUCCGGGAGAGGGAUGCGGAAUUCCAGGUGUAGCGGUGAAAUGCGUAGAUAUCUGGAGGAACACCGGUGGCGGAAGGCGGCAUCCUGGACCGGCAUUGACGCUGAGGAGCGAAAGCCAGGGGGAGCAAACGGG
rnacentral:rRNA from 1 species